GGCAGGUAGUCUAGUGGUUAGAGGAGGCAGGUAGUCUAGUGGUUAGAGGAGGCAGGUAACCUAGUGGUUAGAGGAGGCAGGUAGUCUAGUGGUUAGAGGAGGCAGGUAGUCUAGUGGUUAGAGGAGGCAGGUAGUCUAGUGGUUAGUGGAGGCAGGUAGUCUAGUGGUUAGAGGAGGCAGGUAGUCUAGUGGUUAGUGGAGGCAGGUAGUCUAGUGGUUAGAGGAGGCAGGUAGUCUAGUGGUUAGUGGAGGCAGGUAGUCUAGUGGUUAGAGGAGGCAGGUAGUCUAGUGGUUAGUGGAGGCAGGUCGUCUAGUGGUUAGAGGAGGCAGGUAGUCUAGUGGUUAGAGGAGGCAGGUAGUCUAGUGGUUAGAGGAGGCAGGUCGUCUAGUGGUUAGAGGAGGCAGGUAGUCUAGUGGUUAGAGGAGGCAGGUAGUCUAGUGGUUAGAGGAGGCAGGUAGCCUAGUGGUUAGAGGAGGCAGGUAGUCUAGUGGUU
ensembl:lncRNA